UACGUAGGGUGCGAGCGUUGUCCGGAAUUAUUGGGCGUAAAGAGCUUGUAGGCGGUUUGUCGCGUCUGCCGUGAAAAUCCGGGGCUCAACCCCGGACUUGCGGUGGGUACGGGCAGACUAGAGUGUGGUAGGGGAGACUGGAAUUCCUGGUGUAGCGGUGAAAUGCGCAGAUAUCAGGAGGAACACCGAUGGCGAAGGCAGGUCUCUGGGCCACUACUGACGCUGAGGCGCGAAAGCGUGGGGAGCAAACAGG
rnacentral:rRNA from 1 species